rnacentral:rRNA from 1 species
GACAGAGGAUGCAAGCGUUGUUCGGAAUUACUGGGCGUAAAGCGCACGUAGGCGGAUAUUUAAGUCAGGGGUGAAAUCCCAGAGCUCAACUCUGGAACUGCCUUUGAUACUGGGUAUCUUGAGUAUGGAAGAGGUAAGUGGAAUUGCGAGUGUAGAGGUGAAAUUCGUAGAUAUUCGCAGGAACACCAGUGGCGAAGGCGCUUACUGGUCCAUACUGACGCUGAGGUGCGAAAAGCGUGGGGGAGCAAACAGGG